AGUGAACGCUGGCGGUAGGCCUAACACAUGCAAGUCGAACGGCAGCACAGUAAGAGCUUGCUCUUAUGGGUGGCGAGUGGCGGACGGGUGAGGAAUACAUCGGAAUCUACUUUUACGUGGGGGAUAACGUAGGGAAACUUACGCUAAUACCGCAUACGACCUACGGGUGAAAGCAGGGGAUCUUCGGACCUUGCGCGAUUGAUUGAGCCGAUGUCGGAUUAGUUAGUUGGCGGGGUAACGGCCAACCAAGGCGACGAUCCGUAGCUGGUCUGAGAGGAUGAUCAGCCACAGUGGAACUGAGACACGGUCCAGACUCCUACGGGAGGCAGCAGUGGGGAAUGUUGGACAAGGGGCGCAAGCCUGAUCCAGCCAUAGCGCGUGGGUGAAGAAGGCCUUCGGGUUGUAAAGCCCUUUUGUUGGGAAAGAAAAGCAGCAGGUUAAGACCCCGCUGUUCCGACGGUACCCAAAGAAUAAGCACCGGCUAACUUCGU
rnacentral:rRNA from 1 species